rnacentral:tRNA from 1 species
GCCGGUGUAGCUCAGGGGUAGAGCAGCUGAUUUGUAAUCAGCAGGCCGUGGGUUCGAAUCCCUCCACCGGCU